rnacentral:rRNA from 1 species
AACGAACGCUGGCGGCAGGCCUAACACAUGCAAGUCGAGCGGACGUAGCAAUACGUCAGCGGCGCACGGGUGAGUAACGCGUGGGAACCUGCCCUUUGGUUCGGGACAACCCUGGGAAACUAGGGCUAAUACCGGAUAAGCCCCGCGAGGGGGAAAGAUUUAUCGCCGAAGGAGGGGCCCGCGUCCGAUUAGCUAGUUGGUGGGGUAAUGGCCUACCAAGGCUUCGAUCGGUAGCCGGUCUGAGAGGACGAUCGGCCACACUGGGACUGAGACACGGCCCAGACUCCUACGGGAGGCAGCAGUGGGGAAUAUUGGACAAUGGGCGCAAGCCUGAUCCAGCGAUGCCGCGUGUGUGAAGAAGGCCUGCGGGUUNUAAAGCACUUUCAGUAGGGAAGAAAAGCCGAGUGCUAAUAUCACUCGGUCUUGACGUUACUUACAGAAGAAGCACCGGCUAACUCCGUGCCAGCCGCCGC